UACGGGGGGGGGCGAGCGUUGUUCGGAAUUAUUGGGCGUAAAGGGAGCGUAGGCGGUGCGGUAAGUUUGAUGUGAAACCUCCAGGCUCAACUUGGAGCUGGCAUCAAAUACUGCCGUGCUAGAGUGUGGGAGGGGAGAGUGGAAUUCCCGGUGUAGCGGUGAAAUGCGCAGAUAUCAGGAGGAACACCAACAGCGAAGGCGGCUCACUGGCCGGUACUGACGCUGAGGUGCGAAAGCGUGGGGAGCAAACAGGAUUAGAACUAC
rnacentral:rRNA from 1 species